UAUAUUUUUAAUAGAUCCUUGCUGCUUUGUUGAUAAAGAAUUUUAACUUUGAUUACCUUGAGGCUGUAAAAUGCACUGUUACACAACAAUUACCUAAUUAAAUUUAAUUUAAUAAUAACAAAAUAAAAUCUGUCAAUACUGCAUAGCAGGGCUGUUUAGCUGCAGCAAUUUAAUUUUGCUCUUUUAAGAAGCAUCUAUGGUGACAAGAGGGCACUGUUAUGAUCAUGGCUACCGCUGUGAGGUAUCAGCAUGUGUCUUGCCAGCGCGCGUCAAACGGCAUGAAGGGGGUCCAAACGUUAAGGGCGACUGGGCGAGGGGUCCAAGGGAGUCCAAACAGAGUGUCCAAGCGCUCAGGGAGUGUAUGGACCGGGGGUCCAACUACUCGCGAGCGCUUGGACCCCCGGUCCAAAUAGAAGGGGGGUCCAACCACCCUCCAACACCGGCAUAGACUACGUAUAGUCGCUAUUAACUAUCUAUGGUUCCGGUUACACUUUUUCGAGCACUUUUUGGACAAGACAAAGAGAAGAUAUUGUUUUCUGGCGGUCUGCAACAGUUUGCUCUGGUGUCUUAAGAGGAAGAGGCUCUGUUUAAGCCUUCUCCUCUCUUGUCUCUGUGCCGGUUUAGUUUAUUCUAGCCGGCCACACAUUCAGGCAUUCAUUUCUGCUAUUCAGUUGUGUUCUCUGUUUUCUUCUCCUCUGUAGCCAAAUUGUUAGUUUUUGGAAUCAUGUGUCCCGGACCACCAUGCCACCUAAAAAGACUGGUGCUCAAUCCAAUGGUUCGUCCAAUAAGGGUUCCAACAAGAGUAAUGGUUCAUCUUCUAAAAGGGUAACAUUCCAAUGUCCAAUAUGUGAGGAUGCUAUUCUCGAUGACUCACAAGAGUCCAUAUUUU